UCAUGAAAGGUGGUCAAUUUUAAAUUUUGCAGCGUCUUCUAUCAGAAACUGACAAAUUCCAAGUGACAUUGAAUAAUUUUCGCGGCGUGCGAGGUCCUGCCUCGUUGGAGCAAGCAAUCAGCCACGAUCGACGACUUGAUCCUCGAUUGUGAUUGUCAAAAUUUUCGAUAAGUCUGUCAACGAUACUGGUCGAUGUAUACCACGUCGUACGGUGCACGCCUUUGACGCAUCAUGUUGAGUGAAUGUUGCAGGAAUUCCUAUGUCCCUCGCCAAACGUGCUGUAUGAAACUGACAUGUCCAGCCCCGUGUCCUGUAAUUUGCUGUACUCCGCCUGUGGGUUUUGCUUGCGUGUCUCGCGUGCCCACCAUCCAAUGUAGGCCAGUUCCUCAGCCUCGAUGUCUUCCGAAAGCCGCUAAGGCGACGGUUUAUCUACCGCCUUGUUCGCGCUGUCGCACGCCUUAUCCACCGAAAGUCGAAGUCACGCGUUGUCCAUCUCCUCCACUUCCUCCAUGCUGUUCUCCCCCUUCUCCCCCGCCGUGUCCUACCUGCUUUUACACCGCGAAGUGCUCUCCCUGCGUGCCCUGUCCAUUGCCUCGCUCGUCCUGCAAGUCACUGUGAGUACUCUAAGGGCAGUCCGCCCUGCUAAGAGACGACAUUCUAAUUGGCGAGUGACUGCUUGGCAAUUACACAACGUGCGGCUGCUUUUAGAU